UCCUUUCGGAAUUCGGGGCAUGCACACACACAUGCCUGGUAUGCUUAAGUUGCUGGGUGAGGGACUCACACUGCGGAGUUGGCUGCGUGUGAUCGACUGCCUUAACCUCUAGGCCACUGCCAGUCCCAGGGAUUCUUUUCUUUAAAAGUGCCUUGGCCUUUAAAACUUCUAAGAGUCUGUGAGAUAAGCUUUUAUGAGGGUUUCUUAAAUGAGUCACAUUUCCUUCCUAAGUUUCUAGAUAUCGUUUUACUUGCAUUGGAUGCUUUACUUUCACGAGCAAGAAACUAGCUUGGAGAAAGUCCUUAGUGCUCCCAGGACCCGCCGAGCCCGCGCGCUCCGUUCCCGAGGAUGGCGCUGUGUGUGUGCUCCUUCCUGGGCCGAGUCGCCCAGCGUGUGGACCCCACAGCUAAGAAAAGCUGACAUUCACAACGGAAGGGAACAAGAAGACGACUCCACGCCGAGGUGGACCUAAGAGGAAACGCCCAGCGCAGGGCACAACAACCGUCUUGUUCCCCAGCACGGUGGCGUUGGUGCCAGUGCUCGGGGCCGGUCUGACGGCCUUGGCUCGGCUCGGUGCGGCGCUGCCCGGCUUCCUGCUUCUGCCCAUCCCUGUUUAUUCUGUCAAUAAGACCACGUUUUAGAGCAACGCUUGCUCUGCUUGGCAGCCUGCACUUUUAUCACGAGUGUGGAAAUGUACUUCGCCCUGGUUUCUACGGAUGCCUAAACAUGUCUGGGUUGUGGUUGCCUAGGCAACUGGCUGAGCUGUGGCAGUGUGUGUGGUGACGGCUCUGGCUGGGGCUGGAGGGAAGCCCCAUGUCAUCCUGGGAGCUCCUCAACCAAGCCGGAGGGUCAGUACGAAGCCCCAGAGGCUCCCCAUGUCCUCUGCAAGCGUCCUGUUCUAUCUCCCUGAGAAGUCCCUGCUUAGCUGCCCGGGGCUGGGUGAUGUGGCGCAGAUGUGCCGACUUAUUUAGGGACCUGACCUUCUGUCCCUGACCCUGGGGCGUGAUUCCUUAGCAACCGUUGACCCAGGGUUGUUCUGGGUUGAACAGGGUGCUCUCCCUUCACGUUUCUAUUGCUUCCCAGGCCUGGGGCCGGUUUAUGGGCCCCAGAACUGAGCCUGGUCUGAGAGUCCCACUGAAACAUGGCCUUGCAGGGCCGGAGGGUAGUCCUGACCACCCAUAGUCAUGGGAAAAACUGACCUGAUUGGACUCCUGGAGUGCUCCACUGCUUUUACAAAGUCUGAGUGAAACGAUUGGUAUAAUAAAUUCUGGGCUUAUCCUUUA